rnacentral:rRNA from 1 species
UACGAAGGGGGCUAGCGUUGCUCGGAAUCACUGGGCGUAAAGCGCACGUAGGCGGAUCGCUAAGUCGGGGGUGAAAUCCUGGAGCUCAACUCCAGAACUGCCUUCGAUACUGGCGAUCUUGGAGUCCGGGAGAGGUGAGUGGAACUCCGAGUGUAGAGGUGAAAUUCGUAGAUAUUCGGAAGAACACCAGUGGCGAAGGCGGCUCACUGGCCCGGUACUGACGCUGAGGUGCGAAAGCGUGGGGA